CUACGGGGCGCUGCAGUGAGGAAUAUUGCACAAUGGGGGGAACCCUGAUGCAGCAACGCCGCGUGGAGGAUGACGCAUUUCGGUGUGUAAACUCCUUUUAUAUGUCAAGAAAAUGACGGUAGCAUAUGAAUAAGCACCGGCUAACUCCGUGCCAGCAGCCGCGGUAAUACGGAGGGUGCAAGCGUUACUCGGAAUCACUGGGCGUAAAGGACGCGUAGGCGGGUUGGAAAGUCAGGUGUGAAAUCCUACAGCUUAACUGUAGAACUGCACUUGAAACUUCUAAGCUAGAGUACGGGAGGGGGAGAUGGAAUUAGUGGUGUAGGGGUAAAAUCCGUAGAUAUCACUAGGAAUACCUAAAGCGAAGGCGAUCUCCUGGAACAUUACUGACGCUAAGGCGUGAAAGCGUGGGGAGCAAACAGGAUUAGAUACCCGAGUAGUC
rnacentral:rRNA from 1 species